CCUACGGGGAGCUGCAGUGAGGAAUAUUGGUCAAUGGCCGGAAGGCUGAACCAGCCAUGCCGCGUGAAGGUCAGUGCCCUAUGGGCGUUAAACUUCUUUUGUGCGGGAGCAAUAAUGGUCACGUGUGGCCAGACGAGAGUACCGUACGAAUAAGCAUGGGCGAACUCCGUGCCAGCAGACGCGGUAAUACGGGGGAUGCAAGCGUUAUCCGGGUUUAUGGGGUUUAAAGGGUGCGUAGGCUGUGAGGUAAGUCAGCGGUGAAAUGCCCCCGCUCAACGGGGUGAAGUGCCAUUGAUACUGCCUUGCUGGAAUGCGGAUGCCGUGGGAGGAAUGUGUGGUGUAGCGGUGAAAUGCAUAGAUAUCACACAGAACACCGAUUGCGACGGCAUCUCACGAAUCCGCGAUUGACGCUGAUGCACGAAAGCGUGGGUAUCAAACAGGAUUAGAUACCCCGGUAGUC
rnacentral:rRNA from 1 species